GACGAACGCUGGCGGCGUGCUUAACACAUGCAAGUCGAACGAUGAAGCUGGAGCUUGCUCCGGUGGAUUAGUGGCGAACGGGUGAGUAACACGUGAGCAAUCUGCCCUUGACUCUGGAAUAACUGCGGGAAACUGUAGCUAAUACCGGAUACUUUCACUGGAAGGCAUCUUCUGGUGGAAAGAAUUUCGGUCAAGGAUGGACUCGCGGCCUAUCAGCUAGUUGGUGAGGUAACGGCUCACCAAGGCGACGACGGGUAGCCGGCCUGAGAGGGUGACCGGCCACACUGGGACUGAGACACGGCCCAGACGCCUACGGGAGGCAGCAGUGGGGAAUAUUGCACAAUGGGCGCAAGCCUGAUGCAGCAACGCCGCGUGAGGGAUGACGGCCUUCGGGUUGUAAACCUCUUUUAGUAGGGAAGAAGCGAAAGUGACGGUACCUGCAGAAAAAGCACCGGCUAACUACGUGCCAGCCGCCGCAGUAA
rnacentral:rRNA from 1 species